UUUGAAGUAAUUAAGGUUUAAGGCAAUGGAAUGAAUGCAAGGUGUUCAACAAUUUUACCCUGUGAACUUUGAGUGGUCGAUGUUUAUUAUUUGUUUUGUUUGCAGUCCUGAGUCAGUGAUCAAGAGGUUUCAAGAAAGGGAUGAUGCUGUUGAUAGUAGAGGAGUUGCUGAAUUUCUUCGAGCUCUUGUGCUCACUAACUCUCUUUCUGAGUUUCUUCCUGAUGAGGAUUCCGGGAAACCUUCUAGGCUUCCUACACUGUUCGAAAAGUUGAAGCAUCGUAUUUCGGGGAAAGAUGAUGAGCCUGUUCUUAACCCUGGAGCAUCUGAGAGGCAGCCAUUACAUGUGGUUAUGGUUGAUCCAGAUGUACCAAACAGAUCACGUUUUGCACAAGAACUUUUCGCCGCCACUAUUGUGUUUACUGUUGCUGUGGGAGUGGUCUGGUAUGAUUCUCCAGUUUCCUUCUCUCGCUUGCUCUCUUUUCAAUAUUCAUUAUUACCCUGAAAGCUUCAUACUUUUCUUUCACGGUCAUGGGUGCUGUUACCCUUCACAAAUUCUUGGGAAGCUUUGGCGGGGUUGGAAAUUCAGGUGUAAGCUCAAGUAAUUCGUAUGCCCCAAAGGAAGUAAACAAGGAUGUCAUGACAGAAAAGAAUGUCAAAAAGUUUAAGGAUGUGAUGAUGCGAAGUAGGAACUUGAGGAAGUUGUUGAGUACCUAAAAAAUCCAGCUAAAUUUACACGUCUUGGAGGGAAGUUGCCAAAGGGGAUUCUUUUGACAGGACCACCAGGAACUGGAAAAACUUCACUAGCCAAGGCUAUUGCUGGAGAAGCUGGUGUUCCAUUUUUCUAUAGGGAAGGAUCUGAAUUUGAGGAGAUGUUUGUUGGGGUCGGUGCUCGAUGUGUGAGAUCCUUAUUUCAGUCGGUCAAAAAGAAGCGUCCAUGUAUAAUUUUUAUUGACGAAAUAGAUGCUGUUGGUUCAACAAGGAAACAGUGGGAGGGCCAUACAAAGAAGACACUGCAUCAACUACUUGUUGAAAUGAUGGAUUUGAGCAGAAUGAGGGAAUAAUAGUAAUAGCUGUGACAAAUUUGCCUGAUAUUCUUGAUUCUGCUCUAACAAGGCCUGGUAGAUUUGAUCAGCAUAUUGUUGUACCAAAUCCCGAUUUACGUGGGCGACAAGUAAUAUUUGAGCUCUACUUGCAAGAUAAACCUUUGGUGGAUGAUGUAGAUGUUAAAUCAAUUGCUCUUGGUACCCCGGGAUUCAAUGGGGCAGAUCUUGCAAACCUGGUAAACAUUGCUGCCAUUAAAGCUGCUGUUGAAGGUGCCGAGAAAGUAUCAGCUUCACAGUUGGAGUUUGCAAAAGAGAGAAUAACUAUGGGUACAGAGCGGAAAACAAUGUUCCUAUCAGAGAAGUCAAAAAAGCAUACUGCUUAUCAUGAGAGUGGUCAUGCAAUUGUUGCCCUAAAGACUGAAGGUGCAAAUCCAAUUCACAAGGCAACAAUCAUUCCAUGAGGAUCUGCUUUAGGAAUGGUCACUCAACUUCCCUCUGGUGAUUGUGACGUCUAUCAGCAAGCAGCAGUUGCUAGCUUGCCUUGAUGUUUGUAUGGGAGGCAGAGUUGCAGAAGAACUUAUCUUUGGCCAGGACCAUAUCACAACAGUAGCAAGUAGUGAUCUACAUACAGCAAUUGAGCUUGCACAAUAUAUGGUAUCAAAUUGUGGGAUGAGUGAUGCAAUUGGGCCCGUUCAUAUAAAGGAGAAACCAAGUUCUGAAAUGCAAUCACGUAUUGAUGCAGAGGCAAGUCCUCUGAACCUAUAUUUUCUUGGUAAAACUAAAACAAUUAAUCUUAGUAUACAAGCCAUUAGCAUUUACAAGUCUUACAAGUGCGGAAUUUACUGAAACCCUAAACACGCUCCAAUUCAUACGUACAAGUCACGCGCUAUAUAACAGACUUUAGUUUCAAUCAAAAUCAAUUAACGCGCGAAUAUCUCUCUUCCAAUCUUCAAAAGAUUUCCUUACCUUCUUCGAAUCUCUUGCCAAGUUUUUUCGUUCUCCUUCUCGCGUUCUCCCCUGGUCUUUUGGAUCCUUCUUUCUUCUGCGUUUAUCACUUCUUUGGUCUUCGUCAUUCGCCUGAGUUUUGCGAACUGUAACGCUAGCUUCGUUUUAUUUUGAUUUCCUGGUUUCUGAAAUCAAAUUUUGAAGUCCUUUUGAAGAUAAUGGAUGAUUCAACCUCAGAUUGUUAGCGCAAUCACGGCGAAGUGGAUUCAAUCUCAGAUUGUCAGCUCAAUCACAGCGAAGUGGAUUUUGAAUUUGAAUCGAACGAAGUUCCUGAGGUUUGAUUUAGUUUCAGUUAAUUUUGAUUGUCUAGCUGAAUAAUUCGUGAAGCUAGACUGUGAAAUUAAUGCGUGAACAUAAUUUGUGGAUUGAAUCUAAUGUAUUAGUUUUGAUUAAUUAUCUGCAAUUUAUAGUAGACGCUCGGGUGUAUAUCAGAACUUUUUAGGUGUAUUUUUAUGGAAGUUUGGGUGUAUUUACAGUUUAUGGUUUUUCUUGUUAUUUUUAAUUGACUUGUUGUCGUUCGGGUGUAUAUCAGGAGUCCUUGGGUGUAUGUUACUUUGAUU